AUUUUUCGUGAAUGUGUUCCCUGUCAGGGAAGGGUCUUAUUGUUGUGGAAGCCCUCAGGUACCUUUUAUCCUUCCCUGUGCUGGGCAGUCCAUUGUGAGCAGAGUAUGUGCCAGGAGCAGGUGUGUUUCCCUGGAAGGGCAAUGGCUGUUAGGCCAAGGGGCCCCAGUUCCCUGAGGGUGUAUCAGGGAUUCACAGAGGACAUCCUUAAGCUGUGUCGGCUGGGACGGCACGAAGAGCAGAAUUGCAGGGCCCAAGACCAGGGAGUUGGCAGAUUGGCAGCCUUUGUCCUGCAGGCCCCUUGACUCUGAAGGUAUCCGUACACCAACGCAUCCUGUUUGAUGGCUGACACACCAGACCAAGGUGUACCAAUUGAAUGGUAGAUGCAAGAAUGAGGGCAGCACUUCUGGAGGCCUUGCCUCUUUCCCCAGUAUGGCUAUUGCUCUUCCUCAUGCUUGUGUGUGUUUUCUCACCCCAAGCCAGUGGCCUUGAGUGGCCCAGGAUGGAAGACUGUUCGCAACAGAGAACCUGUCGCAUAUUCCAUAACAACUGUCCUGGCAAGACAAGGCAUGUGAGCCCCCAGGGACUUCUGGGCAAUUGGCCCUUCGAUGUACAGGUGGAUCACCCAUGGCGAUUGAGUGGCCCAGGAUGGAAGACCAUUGGCAUCGGAGACCCAUCACAUAUUCCAUGACUCCCAGCCUGGAAAGUCGAGGCCUACGAGCCGCCACGGGCCACUGGACACGUGGCCCUUGGUGGUACAGGUGGAACACCAAUGGCUGUAAGUGGCCUUCUUCACAUAAACCUGGUGGUUUGGCCAUAAGGCUCUGGAUGUGGUGUCUGUUUUUUCACCUUUGUACUUUCCCUGGGGCAUGCAAGGUCCCAUGGCCCACAGGCUUAGCUGUAAUUCCUGCCUCUUGGCUGGGAUCUGUGCAGUUCCAACUGCUGAUGUGAUUGAGAUUGCUGGCCUUCCAAGGGUGGAGGUCCUGACUUUGCUCAUUCAGCAUCUGAGCACAUGCACUUAGAUGGAUGAUGAUUCCCACAAAGGCAGUCUUGAAAAUUGGACAAAAUGAGUUAUCAAUCCUUAUCAUGUCUCUUUGGAACUAAGAUCCAGCAUGUGGCUCCCAGAGGGAUGGAAUGGCCAGGGUCACAUUGCCUUUGCUCCCUGGGGCAUCAGCGGCAACAGCAUGGAAGCUGAGAGUGACAACCUUGUGGUGUGUAGGUGAGCCAUGGGGAAAAGGGCCUGCAUCUCCCAUCCUCAGGGG
rnacentral:lncRNA from 1 species